rfam:Erythrobacter sp. KA37 contig2, whole genome shotgun sequence.
CAUGCGGACCGGGCCCCUCUGGCGCGGCGCUUUUGCCUUCGGGCCCUAGCGCUGCGUGAUGUCGGACCGCAUCG